GUUUUAAAUAAAUUCUUUUUGGAUAUUUUUGUAUAAAUUCCAUUUCUCAAUUUCCAUAGCUCCAAAUACUGCACAAAAAUGUUCUUAAUUCUUCUUACACAUAAAGCAACCUAAUUUGAAUAUUUCACUAUUUUAGAAACAAGCACCACAUUUUUAACAUAUUUAAAACUUAUGAAAUGAUGCACAUAAAAUCAUAUUCUUAGAAGAAUGACAUGCUCAUGAUGCUUAUGAUUGAUGAGAGUGCUUAUGCAUGACUUUGAUGAGACUAAGUGCUUGCUUAACACCUAGGGUGUUACAUAAUCUCUGCUGCAAUCACUAUUAUCAUAUACAUUUGGACUACACUAUAUAUCUAAACUACCAUCACCACCCUACUUGGGCACCGUGUAAACUCCAUCCACCGCUCUCUUUUCACUCAUGCGCACCCUAUAUUUUUAGGCCAUUGCAUGCACGUUUUCACUUCCACCUGUGAGCAACCUAUUCUUACUCACUGCCACCUGCAUGUUCCUUUCUUCCAUUCAUACAUCCUAUUGUAAGCGCUCUUGCACAUUCUAUAAUCAGCAUCCUAUUUUUAAUCGGCAUCCUAUUGCAACCACUACAUUUAUUCCACUCUUGGGCAUCUAAUUUUAGAACAUUGCAUCCUUGUCCACUUCAUGCGCAUCCUUUUGCCUCUCCUCCACUCUUCUUUCACAUUCUGUUUUUCUCAUCCCCGUUGCAAUCAGUGUUACUGCAGCAUCAUAUCACCAUCAUAAUCUGCUAGUUGUAUUUUUGUUACACUAAAGACAUUGUCUGUUUUCUAAAAUCUAAUCCAUCAAGAUUCAGAUUUAUUUUAGUUGAGCAAAGUAGGAAAAAACAGAAAGAAACAAAAAAUAUCAGAAAAAAAGAAAAGAAAAAGGAAAGAAAAGAAAAAAAAGGAAAGAAAAGAAAGGAAGAGAAAAAGAAGGGAAGUUAUCUCUUGUUGUUCUUAUUAUUCUUGCGAUAUUGUGACUUCAUCUGUGCCGAGGCUCGCGUCUCUAGCACGGUCUAGCCUAGGACCAGCACAGUGCCACCGUGGAAUGAUUUCUCAACAUGCUUUUGUGACUAAUGUGGUGUUAGUACUUCCUUGUGCAAUAUAUAGAGCCAUCCUAUAACUCCACAUAUUAGACUACAACUUGACAAGUGUUGUUGCUGCAGCGUUGAUACACCUUUUCUAGGUUUUCUGACUUGUUGGUUCCUGCCACCUCCUGUUUCGCUUGGUAAGAACUUGUGAGAACUUGUUUGCAUAGGGUGAGAGUGAAAUAAUUACAACAACCACAUCCUUGUAGUUGAUAGGAGCAUAAAGAUUAUUGCGUAUGUCUCUGGUUUUGUUCUAAUCAUGGCAGGAAUCCACAUAGAAACAAGCGAUAAUCGGAUUGCAUGUUCACAUCACUUUGCUAAAGGUGUGGCAAGUGAUAAGUAUGGCACUCAUGAGGUAUGUGAUGUUUUGCUAGAUGAAAUAAAAUCUGCAUUACCUUAUUUUGAAAGAAAUUGUGAUCC
rnacentral:lncRNA from 1 species